rnacentral:rRNA from 1 species
GACGUAGGGCGCGAGCGUUGUCCGGAUUGACUGGGCGUAAAGCGCACGCAGGCGGAUGCGCGCGUGGGGUGUGAAAUCUGGCCGCUUAACGGCCAGGCGCCAUCCCAUACGGCGCGUCUGGAGUGAUGCAGAGGUCGAUGGAAUUGCCGGUGUAGUGGUGAAAUGCGUAGAGAUCGGCAGGAACACCCAGGGGGAAACCAGUCGACUGGGCAUCUACUGACGCUGAGGUGCGAGAGCGUGGGGAGCGAACCGG